GUUGCAAAUAGACUCGCAUUCUUGCCGUGGAUGAGUCUUCACUUUUCUAGCCCUCUUCAGUUUGCGCUCCCCUUCCGAGCCCCCUGCAGGUCAAGAAUUACAUUAUAGCACAAGAGCCGAGUCUGCUUGCAGACUCCAUUCCAUUUGUCUUGCCGUGAUCCAGUUCACGGUUUGCAGAUCUCAGCCUAGAACUGGUAAAAUAAUAGAUUUCCUUGAUUCAGACUCAGUCCACUUUCUUGUCCUUUAAUAUGCAGUAAAGUUUUUGAACUCACUUUGAAAUUAUAGUCAAAUGUUAGUGUCCGGGUCUGGCAGCUUGCUGCGUUCUUAACUUGCAGCAUUUUCUCCACCCAUCUUGCCAACUUUAGGGAACAACACACUCUCCUUUAAAAAUCCAUGCCAUUCUUUGAGCGUUGCAGCUUGUUUUCAGCAAAUGGGUAGGUGCCUUGCGCCUUAUGCUUCAGCUCCACUUCUAUUUCCACUGUAACAGUUUCCUCCUACCAUGUUUCUCCCUACCAUUGUGUUUGCGCUGGGAGAUGCAGAAGGUGGAUAGAUCUGAGUGAAACUUGGCAACAAUGCCAGCAAAAGUAUUACAGCUCUUUUUUUUUUGCACAAUCAGGAGCUCCAAAACACCCGACAGGAUUUGAAAUAUGCAGCUACCGCCCCCUUAAAAUGGAAUCCUCUACUGUCACAAAAAUAGAAAGAAGCUUUCACCAAUUUGGUGGCUGGUGCACUAGCUGCAAACAUCUACAGGGCACCAGGUUGGUGGAGGAGGAUGCAAAAGAACUGGCACAAAACAGAAAGGCAACCCCAAAAAAUCAGCCAUAGCUCUCUGAGUGGAGUAAAAGCUUGGCGCAUCCAAGGUGCUGGAUUCAGUCUCUGCCCAUUAGACCUAACUAUUUGACAUGCUGACGGAGGCUGACGAGAGUUGGAAUCCAAAAUAUCUGGCAGGCCUCAGUUUGGCUACUCUUGUGUGAGGAGCCCUUGCUGAGAUAAGGCAAUCAUAUUGCUGACAUACAAAGACGCGGCAGGAGAAGGAAAAAACAGAUUACUAAGUGCGUAUUUAUAAGAUGGAUCACAUGUUCGAAAGAAAUUGAAGAUUCCCAGUGUAGACAUUUGUCUAUCUCAGUAUGAGGAGACUUCCUAGCAACAUACUCAGGCUGAGAAAUCUUUAAUUCAGGGUUCCAAGGCCUACACAGAGUACCUGCAAUGCAAUGUUUCUUUUUCCUCCAAAGAGAAGCUGUAUGAUGGAAAGGUUGGAA
rnacentral:lncRNA from 1 species